UGUACUACCUUAGUAACUUAAUUACACACUAUCACUUGACUUAAGCAUUUUAUAGACAACGAUUGUACAUGUGUACAGUGUUUUGUGAAGCACCUAUUUGGUCCUCACAACUCUGUGAAGUAGAUUAAGGAAAGAGCAUGGGGUUUGACAUCCAGAAAGGCAUGUUCAAACCCUGACACCUUUCAGAGCUGGAGAUGCUAUCAACCUCACAGCUUUAUUGGGAGGACAGAGCUUCACAAACUCAGUGUGAGUCUUUCUCCUUAUUUUGAAAGAUGAAGAUCUUCAAGUCCAGAGAGCGGAUGCAUACAAUGUUGUGCUGGGGACAAGGAGCAAAGCCAGGACUGAACUGGGAUUAAGUGACUCAUCCGGGAUCACACAGCCAGGAAGUUUAAGUUUCUGAGGCCAAAUUUGAACUCGGGUCUUCCUGACUUCAGGGCUGGUGCUCUAACCACUGCAUCACCUAGCUGCCCCUCAAAUGAUCAUCUUAAGUCUGCAAGAAGCAUAUUAAUUUACACAAUUAGCUUCUGACAAUGUAAAAUUAAUUUUUAUAUGUUACCAUUAUUCAUUAUAGUAUUAUUUUGAAUUUCUCUUCAAUGGAGAAAUCUCUUUGUACACAAUUCUUUCCUCUAUAAGAUAAAGAUCAAAUUAAUAAAUCUGACAAUAGGGAAUAAAAAAUUAAAUUGGAGCUAAGCAAGUUGAUCUCUAAAUCAACAGGUGCUUAUUAUCAUUAUUUUUAAAAAAUUAUUUUCAAAACAAUCGUUCAUUAAUAAAUUCUAUCUUAUCCCUUGAUUCAGCCUUUUUCCACCAUUGAGAAAGCUCUAUGUGUGUGGGUAUGUAUCAGUUAUUUCUAUAUAUAUGUUCUAUCAAUGUAUUUCUAUAUUAGUCAGAAUAAGACAAAUCUUAAGUUGCAAAAAAUUCAGAAUAAAAAUAAAGAGAAAGUGUAGGAAAGAAUGUCUCCUUUACUCUAAAUAGCUUUGUUUUCAUUGCCUUUUGUAUGUACUGAAAGAUGACAAGAAACACAUUAAAAAGGAACAAUUUAA